rnacentral:rRNA from 1 species
GACGAACGCUGGCGGCGUGCCUAAUACAUGCAAGUAGAACGCUGAAGGAGGAGCUUGCUUCUCUGGAUGAGUUGCGAACGGGUGAGUAACGCGUAGGUAACCUGCCCGGUAGCGGGGGAUAACUAUUGGAAACGAUAGCUAAUACCGCAUAAGAGUAGAUGUUGCAUGACAUUUGCUUAAAAGGUGCAAUUGCAUCACUACCAGAUGGACCUGCGUUGUAUUAGCUAGUUGGUGGGGUAACGGCUCACCAAGGCGACGAUACAUAGCCGACCUGAGAGGGUGGUCGGCCAGACUGGGACUGAGACACGGCCCAGAGUCCUACGGGAGGCAGCAGUAGGGAAUCUUCGGCAAGGGACGGAAGUCUGACCGAGCAACGCCGCGUGAGUGAAGAAGGUUGUCGUGUCGUAAAGCUCUGUUGUAAGAGAAGAACGAGUGUGAGAGUGGAAAGUUCACAGUGUGACGGUAUCUUACCAGAAAGGGACGGCUAACUACGUG